rnacentral:lncRNA from 1 species
UUGAUGUGGAUUUUGGUUUUGGUUUUUGUUCUAGUUAGCAAUUGUAAUAGUAUUACAUAUUGAGUAUGUAUAUUUUUCAGUAAGAGUUUCGCCUCUUUACAUGAUUUUGUUGUGGUUUCUUUGACAAAUCCCAACAGGUUCAAGUACAACUAGCCAAUCAUUUCUAACAGCGGAUUAAGGUUCAUAUAAAAUGGUGCUCGAACUAUUGAUCAAUUUAUUUGGCAUAAGGCGAAACGUACCAUCAAAUACUUCAGCUUUGUCCAGGAGUGAAGAAACAAAAACUCCAGUUUCAGAUUCAAAAUGGAAUCUGACAGAGAAGACAACAGUUACAGAAACCAAGUGCGUAAAAUUAGAUCUGUCACCUGUGUAUCAUGUGCAGACUACCUGACAAACCUAUUCAAUGCACAGGGAAGACAUAGGUGGUCAGAUCUGAACACUGACCCUCCCUGUGUCACUCCCCAGUGGGGCCCUACGGGUACAGUCAUCCUCCUCGGAAUAUGAAAGUCUACAGUUAAACAGUAUCAGUGAACCAGUCUCACUGGAAGGUGUUCCAUUUAUAAUCAAUGAAAAGUUGGACAGGAAGGAUGAAGUUAACAACAUUUUGUGGCAAGUCCUUCAAUCUAUUGAAAACCUCAAGAAGUAUGACAACAGCAAACCUUGGAUUCAUGACUGUUACAACUUUAAUGUGGAGAAAUUAGUUUUAAGACAAUGAAACCUUUUGUUUUUAUAGCAUACUGUAUUCUGGAUAUCGCAAAACUGUUUCAAGGAAUAUCUACUGAUAAAACUGUUAAGGGUAACUAGAUAACAAUUGGAACAUAAAAACAGUUUGUGUGUUUUACAAGCAUUGUUUAGGCUUAAAGUUCAGAUCAAAAUCAGGACUUAAUUUUAACCAGAACCUGUUUAGUAUGGGCUUUUUUUUAAUCUAAAGGUGGAAACACUACAACUUGAUGUUUGACUGACAAGUUGACCACUCUUCUCCAAACAGUAUCCACCAACCUUUCAACAAGGAUCUGGUACUUUUAAUAUAAACUAGAAUGUAUCAUAUCCAACUCAGUCAGCUUGGUGUAGGAAACAAUACUGAAUAUUUGAGAUACACAGCCUAAAAGUGUUAACAUUGUAACUCAUUUGGGAGACAAGUAGACUAUGCUUUUAAAAAAGACUGCAUUUGUAUUUUAAAAGUAAUUGCAGUUAUUGUAACUGUAAAUGUACUAUUAAAAUUAUUUUAUUAUGUUUGCUGUUAUUUUUCAAGUUGUGCUUCAUUUCUAUGUUUAUUAAUAAACAGAGGAUGAAGUUCUAUGUUGAAUAUUUUUCACUGCUUACUUGUCACACGUAUUUGUAUUCAAAUAUUAAAAUCAUGUUCCCGUUUUAAGUGUAAGUGCAUGAAAUUGAUUUGUGUGUAUGUGAUCUUAUGAAAGCUUGCAUCUUUUAUUUCAGAUAGGCAAACUUUGGCUACACAGUCUGUAACUGAAUAAUGGCAUGGAGUAUUUUAAGUUUCUCUUAGAUAACAAAACACUGUAAAGAUCAUGUUGUUUCUUAUUAAAAUAUAAAGAUCUUUUAUUAAUCUAGUAUGUGACAUCCUAGAGUCACAGAAUAUAUUUACAUGUACUAAUGAAUUCUGUCAUUCCCAUACUUUACUAAAGUAAAAAUUGUAAAUAAUUUGUAAUCUUUCAAAUGAUGAUGUUUUGAUUCUUAUGAUUACAAAUAGAUUAUAAUAAUUGUUAAUUCUGAAAUAACCUUAAGCAUGUAAUAAAAUUUGUAAACGGGUCUAGUUUAUUAUAAAGUUUUUAUAAAAGUAAUCAAUUUUCAGUGGCUUCGUAUUAUCUGUGAAACAUCAAACAAUGUAAAAAAAAUUUAGUUCUGAUACAUUAUAUUCCACUGUGGCUUGUAUAUUCAAAAUUGUUUUAAUAUAUAUUCAACACUGUAUAUUUAAGAUAUUUGGUCAGAAAAGGGUUGAAGUUAUUGAUUUAAUGUAGUAAUAUAACACCUGUGUGUGUGUGUUCUUGUAAAAUAUUAUUGUAUUUUGAAAUAAAAUAUUGUUUUCAGUAA